rnacentral:lncRNA from 1 species
CAACAAUCUUUUCACAGAAAUGGAAAUUACUGCCAUGUCAUUGUAUUCCCUGACCAUGUACAGUGAACAAAAUAGCCAAUUAAAGAGUGUGACAACCACUGUCUUGAAAUUCCUACAGGCAGCUGCAAAGGAACACCACAAUGAUAUUCCACUGGAAAAAGGGCCAAACCACCUGAUCAUAAGAACAUCUUAUCAAUAUCCUCCUGGGCAGCAAGCCAUACUGCCCAGCUCCCUCCCACCCAUACCUCUGCAACCAGGAUCACCCCCAUUGCUGGACAUCACAUCCAACACUGGGCUUCAAUUCGUGGGCUAAACUCCCCUGUCCAGGCGGCCACCCAGCAACACAUUGAUACCAUCCUUCUCCUCUGCCAAGUCCAGUACCAGUGCCUCCAGGAAAACAACUCUGAAGUCCAACACCCACUGCUUCAAAACCCAAACCCUGAUUACAGCUCCCCUAUUCGGCAGGAAGCAGCCAGAUAAUCAACAAUGCCCCUCUUCCUUUUAUACUAAAGUAGAAGGCAAGAAUGUGAGUCCAAACCACCAUUUAGUAAGCACCCUGCUAUUUUUCAGACCUUGGUCAAAGUGAAACAUUCCACGGGGGUUCGGGCCAUGAGAAAAAUCUUGCCUAAUCGUCGUAACACAAGACGGACAAAGGUCCAACUAAAGAAACUUUCCUAUCAUAUCUUGCUGGGCAAAGUUUCAAGAUACACCACAAUGACAUCCCACUGGAAAAAGGACCAAACAGCCUGAUCAUAAAAACAUCUUAUCAAUAUCCUGCCGGGCAGCAAGCCAUACUGCCCAGGCCCCUCCCACCCCUACCUACAAGCACCCCAGCCUGUAAGCAGCGGUGGGCUCUGGCAUUAAGCGGGUCCCCCACUUCCACAGGUGUCUGCAGUAUUCCUGUGUUGCUGUUUGAGCCACCCCCUCUCUGUGUGUCUUUCUUUCACCCUCACCUUCCCUUCAAAACCUGACAAUCUUACCUCAUCAUUUUUUUUGUUAUUGGAUUCACAGGGGCUCUUCGUCUUCUCCCCAUUGGUGCUGGAAGUUGGCUGUUCCAUGAUUCUGGUUGGUUGUAGAAUGUCUAUAGUAGGCUCCUGUAGACUGCAGACUUCCACAGCUAUGUUGAAGCUUCCCAGUGGGAUGUCCCAGAGCUCUUGCCCUCCCUAUAUAUACCCUCCUGGUGACAAGGCAAAGCCACACCCUUGAGCUUUGUUUGAUCAUACAGGCAGUGUCCCAGCCAAUGGCGGUCCUAAGGUGGCUUUGACAUCACAAAGCCCCACUGCUGACCACUCCUUGGGCUUGUGGGGGAGGGGUGACAGGGAUGUAGAGGAAACCAAAUGCGGUUGUUGUUUCAGCAUCCCCUGAAGAUGCAUCCCAAACCGAUCUGCCGCCGCUCCUCAUUUCUCCAUGUUUAAUGUUCAUGGUUCACAUGGAAGUCAGAGGAUGAUUCCUUCAAGCCCUUCCCCACAGCCAUUCCUAUGAAGUGAUUCAUUCUUUUGUCUUCCAGCCCUCACCAUGACUUAGUAUUUUAGAUGUCUCACCUCAAAUCCCCCAAGCUAGUGUGGCUACAUUUAAUUAUUAGUUAUUAAUUACUAGUUACAUUUAAUAAUUAAUAAUUAAUUAUCCCAUUUCCCUCCUACAGUUCCUUCAUAUGCACCUUGAAGACCAUUUACUUUUAGGCUACUGCCAGGCAAAUUUCAACCCAUGUUAUUUUACUCAAUGUCCGUGUAGUUCUUUUAAAUUUCCUAUUUCCAAUCUGCAAUAAUGGCCUUCAGUCUGUCAAAAUUUUAGUGAAUAAACAUUCUUUACUGUGUAUCCUAGUCUUGUUUCAAAUGAGGGGUGUAUUUUCAUAGUAAAUGUAGUCUCCCAACAUGAAUUCUGCCAGUAUGUGGGUGGGGGAAGGAGUGGAUAUUCAAGUGCUGGAAGUUGUUCUCAGUGUUUACAUGCAGGAUGCUACAAUCUAAGACCCACAUGUGCACCAGUAUGGGCAUAGUUAUACUUUGUACUGAAGAUUGUGUCCAGUGCAAAAAGAAAAAUGCAUUCAGUUUGG